UAUCUCUGUAGAGUCUGCAUAUCAAUAAGCGGAGGAAAAGAAACUAACAAGGAUUCCCUUAGUAACGGCGAGUGAAGCGGGAAGAGCUCAAAUUUGAAAUCUUCAAGGUUUUACCUUGACGAAUUGUAGUUUAAAGAAGUGUUUUCUGUUGAAGUUUCGGUAAAAGUUCUUUGGAAUAGGACAUCAUAGAGGGUGAGAAUCCCGUAUUUGACCGUUAUUUUCAGCUGUGUGAUACACCUUCAAAGAGUCGGAUUGUUUGGGGAUGCAGUCCAAAAUGGGUGGUAAAUUUCAUCUAAAGCUAAAUAUUGGUGAGAGACCGAUAGCGAACAAGUACCGUGAGGGAAAGAUGAAAAGAACUUUGAAAAGAGAGUUAAACAGUACGUGAAAUUGUCAAAAGGGAAGCGUUUGACACCAGUGUUGUUUUCUCGAAAAUCAAUUAAAAAUGGCUUGAUUUUGUGUUGUAUUGACCUUAAAAGCUUUCUUCACUUUUUUCAUGUCUUUUUUAAUGCACUUUUCGUUUAACAAGUCAACAUCAGUUUCUUUUGUUGUAAAAAGGUCAUUGGAAGGUGGCUUUCUUUUCGGAGAAAGUGUUUAUAGCCUUUGACUUCUGCAAUCGGAGAGACUGAGGUCUGCAGCGUAGAUCCUUCUGGAUUAGAUUCAUUUGUGCUAAGUUACAACCGUUUAUAGACAACUUGUUGACUAUAUUCGAUCCUGUAGCUUACUCGCUUAUGUAAUUUUACCUACGCUUAGGAUGUUGAUCUGUAGUGCGUGCGC
rnacentral:rRNA from 1 species